ACAAUGUUUCAGUUUAAAUCAUUUUUUUAUGAAAUUGUAAAUGACAUUUUUUUACCUAUAUAUUUUUUAGGUUACUACUUCAACCCAAAAUUUUUCUAUUUGACACCUAAACAACCCCUCAAGAUUAUGGAAGGGGUCAGAUACAUUAUUGCAAGGUUGGAGAGAAGCCAUCGAAACCAAGUAGCAGCAAUACAAGAGGUAUUAUUUAAUGUUUAGGUAAGAACUUCAUUGAGUUAUUAUAUUUGUGAAGAAUAAUGAACUAAAACGUAAUAUAUUUGUUUUAGCUUGCUAUGUAUAGGGAUGCUAUAGGAUCCUUCGGAACUAGACUUGCCAGAAAUUCUCGAACUAUGAUGGAUCCAGGUUAUCCCCUCACUAAUAUUUUAUUCAUUCAUAUAUUUAAUCUUAUGAAUUGUUCUUGCCCUUACAAUGCUUUUUGCAUUUUAAUCCAGCUGAAUGGUGGGAG
rnacentral:lncRNA from 1 species